rnacentral:rRNA from 1 species
GACGAACGCUGGCGGCGUGCCUAACACAUGCAAGUCGAGCGGGGUUGAAGCGAGAGGUAACUCGAACUUCUACCUAGCGGCGGACGGGUGAGUAACGCGUGGGCAACCUGCCUCAAGGUCUGGGAUAACAGCCCGAAAGGGCUGCUAAUACCGGGUAUGCUUGUGGCCUCGCAUGGGGCUAUGAGCAAAGGGGAAACCCGCCUUGAGAUGGGCCCGCGUCCCAUCAGCUAGUUGGUGAGGUAACAGCUCACCAAGGCGACGACGGGUAGCCGGCCUGAGAGGGUGACCGGCCACACUGGGACUGAGACACGGCCCAGACUCCUACGGGGGGCAGCAGUGGGGGAUCUUGCACAAUGGGCGAAAGCCUGAUGCAGCGACGCCGCGUGAGUGAGGAAGGUCUUCGGAUCGUAAAGCUCUGUCGGUUGGGAAGAAACGCAUGGAGGCCAAUACCCUUCAUGCCUGACGGUACCAACAGAGGAAGCACCGGCUAACUCCGUGCC